GACGAACGCUGGCGGCGUGCUUAACACAUGCAAGUCGAACGGUGAAGGGGCCUGCUUUUGUGGGUCCUGGAUGAGUGGCGAACGGGUGAGUAACACGUGAGUAACCUGCCCCCUUCUUCUGGAUAACCGCAUGAAAGUGUGGCUAAUACGGGAUAUUCUGCGCCUGCUGCAUGGUGGGUGUGGGAAAGAUGCGCCUUUGGGUGUUUUUGGUGGGGGAUGGGCUCGCGGCCUAUCAGCUUGUUGGUGGGGUGAUGGCCUACCAAGGCGGUGACGGGUAGCCGGCCUGAGAGGGUGGACGGUCACACUGGGACUGAGACACGGCCCAGACUCCUACGGGAGGCAGCAGUGGGGAAUAUUGCACAAUGGGCGCAAGCCUGAUGCAGCGACGCCGCGUGAGGGAUGGAGGCCUUCGGGUUGUGAACCUCUUUCGCCAGUGAAGCAGGCCUGCCUC
rnacentral:rRNA from 1 species